AUCUAGAGUCUGUAUAAUUUUUGCUAUAGUUAUCAGCAUAUAAAUAAUUUUUUUCAGUAACGAUAACAAAUUUUCUAUAUCUUUUUAAAGAGAGAUCAAAAGAAAGCAAACUUAGAUAAGGAGAAGACUGGAAGAUGUAGGUUACAGGCCUUAGAAGAAAAAUUAGAAAAAAAUAUAAAUAAAAAUUAGGAAAACUCUAAAGUAGUAGAGAUACGACGAGAAAGAUAUCUGAAAAAUGAAGACAGGUCAUAGAAGAGAAAUUGGAAAGAUUUAUAAAUAAAAAUGAAAAUACUAAGAUAGUAGAGCUACAAGAAGAAGAAAAUAUAAAAAAUGGAGAUGGGUCUUAGGAGAAAAAUUAGAAAAAAAAUUAUAAUUAGAAUUGAGAAAGAUACUGAGAUAGACAGGGGAAAGAAGGCUAAAACAUUCAGUACCACCUUGGAACAAGACUGAAAAGGGCAGUCUACAUCUGUUAAAAAACCUAAAAUGAUUUUCCAGACUUGAUAAAGGAAUUGGGAGGAGAUGAAAGAAAUUCACAGGG
rnacentral:lncRNA from 1 species